AUUGAACGCUGGCGGCAUGCCUUACACAUGCAAGUUGAACGGUAACGCGGGGCAACCUGGCGACGAGUGGCGAACGGGUGAGUAAUGCAUCGGAACGUGCCCAGAAGUGGGGGAUAGCCCGGCGAAAGCCGGAUUAAUACCGCAUGAGACCUGAGGGUGAAAGCGGGGGAUCGCAAGACCUCGCGCUUUUGGAGCGGCCGAUGUCAGAUUAGCUAGUUGGUGGGGUAAAGGCCUACCAAGGCGACGAUCUGUAGCUGGUCUGAGAGGACGACCAGCCACACUGGGACUGAGACACGGCCCAGACUCCUACGGGAGGCAGCAGUGGGGAAUUUUGGACAAUGGGCGCAAGCCUGAUCCAGCCAUGCCGCGUGCGGGAAGAAGGCCUUCGGGUUGUAAACCGCUUUUGUCAGGGAAGAAACGCUCUGGGCUAAUACCCUGGGGUAAUGACGGUACCUGAAGAAUAAGCACCGGCUAACUACGUG
rnacentral:rRNA from 1 species